GAUAAACGCUAGCGGCAGGCUUAACACAUGCAAGUCGAGGGGCAGCAUAGAUUGUAGCGAUACAAUUGGUGGCGACCGGCGCACGGGUGCGUAACGCGUAUGCAACCUACCCGUCACAGGGGGAUAAUCCGGAGAAAUCUGGUCUAAUACCCCAUAACAUAUGGAUCGGCAUCGGUUCAUGUUGAAAUUUUCUGAGGUGACGGAUGGGCAUGCGUAGCAUUAGCUUGUUGGUGAGGUAACGGCUCACCAAGGCGACGAUGCUUAGGGGGACUGAGAGGUUUUCCCCCGACACUGGUACUGCGACACGGACCAGACUCCUACGGGAGGCAGCAGUGAGGAAUAUUGGUCAAUGGGCGCAAGCCUGAACCAGCCAUGCCGCGUGCAGGAUGACGGCUCUAUGAGUUGUAAACUGCUUUUGUACGAGGGUAAAGUGGGUUACGUGUAACCUUUUGAAAGUAUCGUACGAAUAAGGAUCGGCUAACUCCGUGCCAGCCGCCGCCGUAA
rnacentral:rRNA from 1 species